rnacentral:lncRNA from 1 species
CAGGACAGUCAUCCACGACCACAUCAGCCUGACAUUCCCUGAUGAUGGCAACGGGAUGAACUCGGAGCAGCUGCACAAAAUACUAAGUUGGCAACCAAGAGAAGAGACAGACUCGGCUCCAAUCCUUUGGAGUAUUGAUAAGAGAAGGUAUUGUGGGAAAUGACCCUGUGCCUUUUCUGUUUCUCCUGCCAGAGUCGGUAGGGUUUGGACUGAUCUCUCUUUUAUUUCUCCAGGUAGCAGAGAGGUUUCUUUCCCCUUUAGAGGAGAAGAUAGUGUACAGACCCCCUUAUUAGAGAAGAUAGUGUACUGACCCCUUUAGUAGAGAAGAUAGUGUACAGAGAAGAUAGUAGAGAAGAUAGUGUACAGAGAAGAUAGUAGGGAAGAUAGUGUACCCCUUAUUAGAGAAGAUUGCUCUGCCUGCAGCUGUACCCAUGGACAAGCUUGGAUUCCAACAGUUCUGUUCACAGCAAUGCAGCUGUGGCAGUUCCCUGCUUAGAGAGAAGCUGGAAUUCGUUGGCACUGGAGCACGUUGUCCCAGGAAGCGACUACUCCCUGCCAGGACUAUUUGGUACCCGAAGCCGAGCACGCAGAUCAUCCUGGGAGGACAAAGAGCCAAAACACAGCUGGUUUCCAAAGCUGUCUUCCCCCACACUUGUCAUGUGGGCACAGGGAUACCACACUUGCAAGGGCUUCUCCAAAGGUUUUUCUGCCAGGAGUGCUCCAGGCUUUCAGAAGGUAACUUUCCAGCCCAGAACAGAAACACGGACCUGAUGCCGUCGUUUCCUGAGCACUGUAAGGUGUCCUGCACCUCUUGCCUCCCCACAAGAGGGAUGGGAUCCCAUCCCUGCAUGGCUGCUCCUUUCUGCCC